rnacentral:rRNA from 1 species
UACGGGGGGAGCAAGCGUUGUUCGGAUUUACUGGGCGUAAAGGGCGCGUAGGCGGCGUGACAAGUCACUUGUGAAAUCUCCGGGCUUAACUCGGAACGGUCAAGUGAUACUGUCGUGCUAGAGUACAGAAGGGGCAACUGGAUCACUGUGGUAGCGGUGAAAUGCGUAGAUAUCGAGAGGAACACCUGCGGCGAAGGCGGGUUGCUGGGCUGAUACUGACGCUGAGGCGCGAAAGCCAGGGGAGCGAACGGG